rnacentral:lncRNA from 1 species
UGUAAGAGGUGAAAAGGACUAUGGAAGUUUAAGUUGUUUUGUCACUGACCAAAUUCUAUGAUUAAUAGACAUUUUUAGAUGAUAAUUAAAGAAAACUAGUAUAAUUAGACCAAGAAGCUAAAAGUUCUUCCUUUGAAGGUUUCAGAAUUGAAAACCUUUUAAAAUUGUCUUACAUCGUGAAUAAAUCUUUUAAGAUGUAAAUUAUACUAAUAUAUACCACCAUCUAGCUCUAAGCAGUGUAUCUGAGCAGUCUUCAUUUCUAAA